rnacentral:rRNA from 1 species
UACGGAGGAUGCGAGCGUUAUCCGGAUUUAUUGGGUUUAAAGGGUGCGUAGGCGGACGCUUAAGUCAGCGGUAAAAUUGCGGGGCUCAACCUCGUCGAGCCGUUGAAACUGGGUGCCUUGAGUGGGCGAGAAGUACGCGGAAUGCGUGGUGUAGCGGUGAAAUGCAUAGAUAUCACGCAGAACUCCGAUUGCGAAGGCAGCGUACCGGCGCCCUACUGACGCUGAAGCACGAAGGCAUGGGUAUCGAACAGG